rnacentral:lncRNA from 13 species
UGGAGGUUGCAGUGAGCCAAGAUCGUGCCACUGCACACCAGCCUUUGUGAGAGAGCGAGGCUCUAUCUCCAGAAAAAAAAAGAUGACUUAAAAGCAUCUUUUAGCUUUACAAAAUACGUCUUAGCUUUCUUUACAUUGGACUUUGCUGAGUACCUUCCUCACGGAAUUGAAAACAACUCCUUUCCCCACCGUAUCAGCAUUGCUUGCAUCCUUUGAAGAAUUAUUUGGAUUCAAAGAACGGUUCUGC